rnacentral:misc_RNA from 1 species
AUAAGUUGUCAAUCCAAUCAUGUGAACUCCUUGUUACAGGAAGCAGCAGCCACUGAAGUCGACGAUUUUUUCAAAGAAAAGUCAAUUUAUAUUAUAAAUUUCAGAUGAAGAGAUAAGAUCCACUUUCACAUCUUUGGAUUUUGUCGCUGGCCUACCUCGGUUGAUAUUUUCCAAAAUGGCAAAAUCCAAGGCAAGGACGCCUGGAGUAUCCCCACAUGCAGUGGUGAUUUGAUCCACUUUCAUAUCGUCGGUGGUGUAAUCUUUUGACAAUUUUAUGCUAUUGAUCUGCAUGUUAAUAAAUUUUCGGUUCUCAUAUUUUCCAUUUCUUUAUCUUCUUAAUAAGCUUUUAUAUCUAAAACGUUUUUCAGGUUUGAGUAUAAGAGUAGGUUGGACAGAACUGGUUAUGUCCUGGAAGUUUUUUUUAUUUGGCGCAUAAACUCGGGAUCGGGCAUAAAUUUGGCGCAGUAGUUAGUAAUACAAGAAAGAUGUGCAUAGUAGCUUUACUACAAGAAUAUGGAGUAUCGGUAGCGUUCAAAAAACGCUAUUUAAUUAUACUAUAACGUUAUUAGAAACGCUCUAUCAUCGUCCGUCAUAAAAGCAGCAUCUCCAAUCUUUGAAACUUCUACACAUACCUUGCUCGCAUUUGGACUUAGGGGCAUAUGAUGGACUGUAUCUGAAGGGUUAGAGAUUUGAUGGUGCUAGCAGUACUGUUACUUAAGCUCUACAAGAAUCAAAAAUAAUACCAAGCAUUCAGGCGAUGGUCUUUUCUAGGCUGUAAGUUAAAGUGCAGAAAUUUACCAGUGGAGGUGAUGGUCUUUUAUCUGGUGAUGUUGUUUCAUACAGUGGAGGAGAUGAAUUCACAUAUUGUAUACUAUGAAGUGGCCAUGCAAUGUUCUCAUUUAGUACAUCUCCCAUAACAAACUUUCCUAGACUUGGUCUCCACAAAUAUGCGGCUUUGUUAAACACCUUUUCAACCUUAACAAUUGCAGCAGAAGGACCAAGAGGCAUAUUGUUCACAAGUUCUUUUCAGUCUGUUGAACACAAUCGACCCUCACCAACCACAGAAUCAGCCAUAUUCCAAUCAAUUAUGAUGAUUUUAACGGUUGAUGAAUCUUUAGCCUAAAGCAUGAUGCAUAAAUAAUAAGUGAUUGGGUAUAGUGUUUAGGUUCAGCUAGAUAAUUGACAAGUGAUGGGAAAAAGACAUUACCGAAGAUCCUGCAGUCUGAUUCUCAGAAGGGGAAGAUACAUCACUGUCUAGAAUGAUCUUAUCGAAAGGCCAGACAAUCUUGUUCCUUAAAGCUUCACCAAGUGUGAAAACUGAUGGUGUAGGCCUCCACAAAGAAGCUGUGGCGUCUAACACUGACUUCGCAAUAACAGCCGCAACAUUACGUCCAAGUGGAAUACGACCAAUCUUGUACAUUUGUUUAGCAGAGCAGAAUUCUCCUUCACCUACAACAACAUCAUCAUCUGAACACCAAUCAAGUAGCUGACAUCGAACUCAUGCACUAACAUUACUAGCCUCAGACUUAGAAACCUCUUCAACAUGUUCCUGACAAAAAACAAUGGAAUUUGUGACAUUUAAACAUUCAAUUUUGCUUAAUAGCACAAGUGUAUUCAAUUAGAUA